AUGAACGUUGGCGGCGUGGAUUAGGCAUGCAAGUCGAGCGGAAAGGCCCCGCAAGGGGUACUCGAGCGGCGUAAGGGAGAGUAACGCGUGGUUUAUCUACCCUCAGGCCCGGGAUAGCUGCGGGAAACCGCAAUUAAUACCGGAUAACAUCUCCGGAUCAAAGGUGUGAUUCCGCCUGUGGAUGAGACCGCGUCCUAUUAGCUAGUUGGUAGGGUAAUGGCCUACCAAGGCGAUGAUGGGUACUGGGUGUGAGAGCAUGACCCAGCUCACUGGGACUGAGACACUGCCCAGACACCUACGGGUGGCUGCAGUCGAGGAUCUUCGGCAAUGGGCGCAAGCCUGACCGAGCGACGCCGCGUGUGGGAUGAAGGCCUUCGGGUUGUAAACCACUGUCAGAGGGGAUGAAAUACAUGAGGGUACUCUCUCAUGUUUGACAUAUCCUCAGAGGAAGGACGGGCUAAGUUCGU
rnacentral:rRNA from 1 species